rnacentral:lncRNA from 1 species
UUUCUAUUGAGCUGCUCAGUGCCCGGCUUAGAAGACCAGGAAAAGGAGUCACAGGUCGUAUGCUGGAGGCUUGAGCCGCGGCACCGUGGCGCGGCUCGCCUCGCUGCGGUUGGUGGUGGCGGUGGACAUUGCAGCGCGGCUGGAGGGGUGAGAUAUUCCUGCACAUCCUCUGGUGACCCCAGAAUGAGGGGGACUCGCUGGUGAAUUGCCUCGGGCUUCACGUCCAGUACAGGCUGGGUCCCCGUGGUCGCCAAGCCUCCUGCCUGCUCAAUGAUGUAGGCCACGGGAUUGCAUUCAUACAGGAGCCGGAGCUGUGGAGGAACAGAGGCAGGACAAAUUCACCAAGAGCCUAGCAACAUGAAGAGAGAUGCCAGGAAGAAGAGAGAAGCCAGGAAACAAGCCAACCGCACAAUCCCCACAUCAGAGCAGGAGAAGAUGGGGGCCUGCUGGCAGAGCUGGGGCUUGGCUGUGGUCACUCUGAACCUGCUCUUUGGUGUUUUCAUGAGUGGUGGGAAGAAUAGGGACCAUAUGGAGCCCACACAGGAAGCUCUAGCAGUAACACAGCAAGCAGGAAGACAAUUCUAAGGAAGCAGCCCAUAGUCUUCUUUCUUUUCCUGUGCAUCUUCCACUGUCAGUGAGGCUCCUCAUUUAUGGUGAACCCAACUGUGUGUAUCUCCCAAGUUCUCACCCGCAGAUUAAUGUUUUCAGGAAGAUAGGCCAUCAACAGUGAGAGGAAGAAGUUACAUUGUCGUAUGAGGGAUGCAUUUUAACCAUUAAUUUGUGGUACAGGCUGGGCGCAGUGGCUUAUGCAUGUAAUCCCAGCACUUUGGGAGGCCGAGGUGGG